UUGAGAAGUUAAAUUGGUGUUGCUACCCUACACACCUCUAACAUUGAGGACGUACGGUUGGUUGGUGGGUUUAGGGUUUUUGCCAGCCAUUGCCAAACAAAACUUUGAAGUCAAAUAAAUCUCCUCCACAUCUGAUCAUGUCACAUGAUUACCACAUUGAUUGGCUCGUGUUCCCAGCCAGAUUUUGGCAUCGUUAUACGGAAGAAUUCGGUGUUAUCUACGUAUUGGAUGCCGAAUAUUAGUAAUAUUCUGAUAUUAGAACUCAACAGAAUAAAUCAUAAAUUCUAGCCAAUUAUAUUCUAAUGUAUCGCUUGAUACCUUCAAUUAGGUCUAGAGGAUGCAUAUGGAUGAAUAUUAUAUUCCAAUUUUGAACUCAUAUUGUUUUUUUUUCAAGUCAUUCUCCUAGUGUUUUGAAAUCUUCAUUAAGGAUAAAACUUAUCAUAUGCAUGAUUUCAUUUUUCAAAUGAAGAAUUUUAUGUUGGGUGUUGGAUAUAUCUUUGUGUGGAGGGGAAUGUAGCUAGAUGUAGAAAGAGUCAACGUUUGGGUACAUUCUGUGGAGAGAGGUCUCUCAACUUACUCCUAUAUAUAUACACAUUACUCUCCAUUUCUCUUUGUCACUUCAUACACUCCCUAUUGUUUAUAUAUACUUAACACAUAUAUAUAUUCAAACAUUAAUUAGUACAUAUUAUACAUACAUACUUUAUGAUGUUGCAUAUAUCACACAUACGUUUGAGAGUGAUGCUGGUUGUUGACAGAAGAUAGAGAGCACUAAGGAUGACAUGCAAGCACAUACAUAUAUCAUCACACCCCAUGUGGAUGAUAAAAUAUGUAUAACAAAUUCAAGAAAGAGAGAGAGAGAGAGAUCAGAUGUAGAGGGAGAGGGAGAGAAAGAGACUGCAUCUCUACUCUUUUGUGCUCUCUAUACUUCUGUCACCACCUUUAUUUCUUCUUCUCUCUCACCUACAUAUACGCACAGUCACAUCUAUGCAUAAUACUAACAUGGGUGCAUAUAUAUCACAUAUUAGGUGAUUUAAGUUUAGUUAACAUUACUUUCUUGUCAAUGCUUCAAGGCAGGUGUUUCAAGAAGCUUCAAUGACAUGAACAAACAAAAAUCGCGAUGACGCUGUCAAGCAUGAUUAUCUUAAUCAGAUCUUCUAAGCAAAGUUCAACAAUAAGUCACCAUCCACUGAGAUACAACAUUUGCGCAAAGAUUCGGCAACAAAAAAAAAAAAAAAAAAGUUCAACAAUAAUUCUGGGAUAUGUAAAUUUUGCAUUAGCUUAGCUAGUCAUGCACACACAUAACAAUAUCAAAAUCGAUCUUUGGAUUCGACCUACAUAACAAAAAACAAUUUGUCGAUUUGGUAUACUAUUAUAGAGGCAAGGAGAUUGGAUGGAUGAAAAUAGAGUAAAAGUUCUAAAA